CGAGCUGGCCGGGCGACCGCGUCGACGACCUCAUCGGUCGUCGCCGAGGAAAGUCCGGACUCCGUAGGGCAGGGUGGUUCGCUAACGGCAACCCGGGGUGACCCGCGGGACAGUGCCACAGAGAACAAACCGCCUCCCACGCAAGUGGGCGGUAAGGGUGAAACGGUGGUGUAAGAGACCACCAGCACCCCGGGUGACCGGGGUGGCUCGGUAAACCCCACCCGGAGCAAGGUCAAAAGGCCGGUCGAGAGACCGGCUGCGCAGGCGUUCGAGGGCGGCCCGCCCGAGCCUGCGGGUAGACCGCUCGAGCCCGCCGGUGACGGCGGGCCUAGAUGGAUGGUCGCCGAACGGUGCGUCGUGAGGCGCCCGGGAACAGGAUCCGGCUUACAGGCCAGCUCGUCCG
rnacentral:RNase_P_RNA from 2 species